UCCAGUAGUUCAGUCAACGGCGGACUGUUAAUCCGUAUGUCACUGGUUCGAGUCCAGUCAGAGGAGCCA
rnacentral:tRNA from 1 species